rnacentral:rRNA from 1 species
UGGGGGAUAUUGCACAAUGGGCGAAAGCCUGAUGCAGCGACGCCGCGUGGGGGAUGAAGGCCUUCGGGUUGUAAACUUCUUUUGCUCUGAACAAGGCGCACCAUGGGGUGUGUUGAGUGUAGGGGUUGAUUAGCGCCGGCUAACUACGUGCCAGCAGCCGCGGUAAAACGUAGGGCGCGAGCGUUGUCCGGAAUUAUUGGGCGUAAAGGGCUUGUAGGUGGCUGGUUGCGUCUGUCGUGAAAGCUCAUGGCUUAACUGUGGGUUUGCGGUGGGUACGGGCUGGCUUGAGUGCAGUAGGGGAGGCUGGAAUUCCUGGUGUAGCGGUGGAAUGCGCAGAUAUCAGGAGGAAUACCGGUGGCGAAGGCGGGUCUCUGGGCUGUUACUGACACUGAGGAGCGAAAGCAUGGGGAGCGAACAGG